rnacentral:tRNA from 1 species
ACUCCGGUAAUUCAGUGGAUAGAAUACUCGUUUCCUAAACAAGUCGUCGGAGGUUCGAAUCCUCCUCGGAGUG